GAGGAGGGCCAGCGGCCUAGGGCCGCGAAGAGCCAGGCGAGAGGACUGGGCUCGCCUGCCUUUGAUCUGGCUCAAACUUUCUCAAGUCCAAGUCAGUCCCGCUGGCCCCGGGUAACUUCCAGCCUGUCCGCCGCCAACCUCCAAUGUUCUUAGAUCGCUCGCAUCCCUUCGGCCUCCGCCUGCGCACUCCUGUGCGUUAUGUCUGAUCACUCAUUUUGUUUGCCUCGAUAUGGGUUAAACAGAACCCACUACCGUCGAAAUAAUGUCCCUCCAUUUGUGCAUCAGCACCGUUCACAACAGGCACAAAACCUAACUAUUGAUUUUCAACCUGCAAACUGUCACUGGGAUUCCAGGUGUGGGACACCAUGCUGAGCUAAAUGAGAUCCUCCAUAAGAGCCCUGAGUAGCCCGUGCAGGAGGUCGGAAGGAGCUGUUGGGAUGAUCGGCACUGAGGAUGAUCAGAGAUGCGGAUGAGCAAGGGUGGGGAGGAGGAUCAAACCCAGGGCAUGCACAUGCCAGGCAAGGGCUCUGCCACUGUGCUACAUAACCACAUCCUCAUAACCACGUCGAUUUUCAUGGGUCCCAAGCAUUUUUGCCUUUCUUGAGCCUUUCCUCUGUAAAAAAUGUGAAAUUUUAAUUUUCGGAUGCAUUAGUGUAAAGGUGAAUAUAUUAACAGUGUAUAUUAAAGCACUUU